UACGGGGGGAGCAAGCGUUGUUCGGAUUUACUGGGCGUAAAGGGCGCGUAGGCGGCGUGACAAGUCACUUGUGAAAUCUCCGGGCUUAACUCGGAACGGUCAAGUGAUACUGUCGUGCUAGAGUGCGGAAGGGGCAACUGGAAUUCUUGGUGUAGCGGUGAAAUGCGUAGAUAUCAAGAGGAACACCUGCGGCGAAGGCGGGUUGCUGGGCCGACACUGACGCUGAUGCGCGAAAGCUAGGGGAGCGAACGGG
rnacentral:rRNA from 1 species